rnacentral:rRNA from 1 species
UACGUAGGGUGCAAGCGUUGUCCGGAAUUAUUGGGCGUAAAGAGCUCGUAGGCGGUUUGUCGCGUCUGCUGUGAAAACUCAGGGCUUAACCCUGAGCCUGCAGUGGGUACGGGCAGACUAGAGUGUGGUAGGGGAGAUCGGAAUUCCUGGUGUAGCGGUGGAAUGCGCAGAUAUCAGGAGGAACAUCGGUGGCGAAGGCGGAUCUCUGGGCCAUAACUGACGCUGAGGAGCGAAAGCAUGGGGAGCGAACAGG